rnacentral:rRNA from 1 species
UACGUAGGCAGCGAGCGUUGUUCGGAAUUACUGGGCGUAAAGAGUGUGUAGGCGGUGUUCCCCAGUCUGUUGUGAAAUCUCCCGGCUUAACUGGGAGGGUGCAGCGGAAACUAGAAUGCUAGAGGGUGGGAGAGGUAAGCGGGAAUUCCUGGUGUAGCGGUGAAAUGCGCAGAUAUCAGGAGGAACACCGGUGGCGAAGGCGGGUCUCUGGGCCGAUAUUGACGCUGAGGAGCGAAAGCGUGGGGAGCGAACAGG